rnacentral:rRNA from 1 species
AGGGUUUGAUCCUGGCUCAGGACGAACGCUGGCGGCGUGCCUAAUACAUGCAAGUCGAGCGGACAGAAGGGAGCUUGCUCCCGGAUGUUAGCGGCGGACGGGUGAGUAACACGUGGGUAACCUGCCUGUAAGACUGGGAUAACUCCGGGAAACCGGAGCUAAUACCGGAUAGUUCCUUGAACCGCAUGGUUCAAGGAUGAAAGACGGUUUCGGCUGUCACUUACAGAUGGACCCGCGGCGCAUUAGCUAGUUGGUGGGGUAAUGGCUCACCAAGGCGACGAUGCGUAGCCGACCUGAGAGGGUGAUCGGCCACACUGGGACUGAGACACGGCCCAGACUCCUACGGGAGGCAGCAGUAGGGAAUCUUCCGCAAUGGACGAAAGUCUGACGGAGCAACGCCGCGUGAGUGAUGAAGGUUUUCGGAUCGUAAAGCUCUGUUGUUAGGGAAGAACAAGUGCGAGAGUAACUGCUCGCACCUUGACGGUACCUAACCAGAAAGCCACGGCUAACUACGUGCCAGCAGCCGCGGUAAUACGUAGGUGGCAAGCGUUGUCCGGAAUUAUUGGGCGUAAAGGGCUCGCAGGCGGUUUCUUAAGUCUGAUGUGAAAGCCCCCGGCUCAACCGGGGAGGGUCAUUGGAAACUGGGAAACUUGAGUGCAGAAGAGGAGAGUGGAAUUCCACGUGUAGCAGUGAAAUGCGUAGAGAUGUGGAGGAACACCAGUGGCGAAGGCGACUCUCUGGUCUGUAACUGACGCUGAGGAGCGAAAGCGUGGGGAGCGAACAGGAUUAGAUACCCCGGUAGUCCACGCCGUAAACGAUGAGUGCUAAGUGUUAGGGGGUUUCCGCCCCUUAGUGCUGCAGCUAACGCAUUAAGCACUCCGCCUGGGGAGUACGGUCGCAAGACUGAAACUCAAAGGAAUUGACGGGGGCCCGCACAAGCGGUGGAGCAUGUGGUUUAAUUCGAAGCAACGCGAAGAACCUUACCAGGUCUUGACAUCCUCUGACAACCCUAGAGAUAGGGCUUUCCCUUCGGGGACAGAGUGACAGGUGGUGCAUGGUUGUCGUCAGCUCGUGCCGUGAGAUGUUGGGUUAAGUCCCGCAACGAGCGCAACCCUUGAUCUUAGUUGCCAGCAUUUAGUUGGGCACUCUAAGGUGACUGCCGGUGACAAACCGGAGGAAGGUGGGGAUGACGUCAAAUCAUCAUGCCCCUUAUGACCUGGGCUACACACGUGCUACAAUGGACAGAACAAAGGGCUGCAAGACCGCAAGGUUUAGCCAAUCCCAUAAAUCUGUUCUCAGUUCGGAUCGCAGUCUGCAACUCGACUGCGUGAAGCUGGAAUCGCUAGUAAUCGCGGAUCAGCAUGCCGCGGUGAAUACGUUCCCGGGCCUUGUACACACCGCCCGUCACACCACGAGAGUUUGCAACACCCGAAGUCGGUGAGGUAACCUUUAUGGAGCCAGCCGCCGAAGGUGGGGCAGAUGAUUGGGGUGAAGUCGUAACAAGGUAGCCG